UAAUAUGAUGAAUAAAAUGGAUGCGUGAACAAUCUCUGAACGUGUUGGUCAUACGAUUGACACAUGGAUUACAAAACCCUGCCUUCCUACUGAUCAAAUUAAAAAUAAUAAUUUAUGAAAUUUU